GCGGGUGUAGCUCAAUGGUAGAGUUCUGGCCUUCCAAGCCAGCUGUCCCUUCACCCGCUCCA
rnacentral:tRNA from 1 species